UACGGAGGGUGCGAGCGUUGUCCGGAAUCAUUGGGCGUAAAGGGCGCGUAGGUGGCCCGGUCAGUUCGUGGUGAAAGCGCGGGGCUCAACCCUGCGUCGGCCAUGAAUACUGCCGCGGCUGGAGCACUGUAGAGGCAGGCGGAAUUCCGGGUGUAGCGGUGGAAUGCGUAGAGAUCCGGAAGAACACCGGUGGCGAAGGCGGCCUGCUGGGCAGUUGCUGGACACUGAGGCGCGACAGCGUGGGGAGCA
rnacentral:rRNA from 1 species